rnacentral:lncRNA from 1 species
CUCAGGUGAGCCAGGCGCAGGUGAGCCCCGCAGGUGCGGAGGCGGCUCGGGCACGCUGCGAGGGUUCCUCGGCCACCUGUGGAGCCGCUCCCGCCUCUACCGGGCGGCUCCGCGGGUGCGGGGAGCGCUCGCUCGGGGGACGGGGCCGUUCUCCCCCGGCCCUGGGGCAGCCGGGGCGGGCGAUCCGGGGAGAGCCCGAGCGGAGCCCGGCGGAGCGGCCGCGGAUCAGCACCACGGACAGCGCCCGGCGGGGCCGCACCGGGACGCGAGCCCCGCACCGGGACCGGCACCGCGGGCAGGACUCUCCCGGGACAUCACCGCCCACCGGAGGCACCGAGGCGGCGCUGGAUGCUCGCCGGGCCGGUUCUCACCCAGCGCUGACGAUGGCGGGCUCAGAGCUCUGGGCAGGUUGUGUGUGACCUCAGGAGGGGCUGCACAGGCAGGAAUGAACCCCGUUCCCUGGGAGGAAUCCCCAGGGUCCCAGCAGGAUGCAUUAACAGCACGUCUCUCCAGUGAGCCGUGAUGGGAACAGCACGGAGCAAAAAAAAAAGCAGUUUUCCUUUUUGUUAACACGAACAGAGAAGCGGAGAAGCGAUCUCUCGAAGGAUCCUGGCUGGCAACAGCAUCACCAUCUGACUGGAGAGAGAACUCAGCCACACGCAUAAUCCUGGGGAAAAUUCAUCUCCACCCUCCCGCAGACCCCGGUGAGAGCCCUUGAAGUGGUAAUUAAAGUCUAUUGAGUGGCAACUGCACCUGUUUAGAGAGGAGAGUGCGGGUAAGAGGUGCACAAAGGGAGAUGAGCAGCGCGCAGAGAGGAGCUGCUGGAGGUGGGGAGGAGGAGAAGUGGAAAGAAGGGGG